UACAGAGGCCUCGAGCGUUAGGCGGAAUCACUGGGCUUAAAGCGUGUGUAGGCGGACUUCUAAGUACCUUGUGAAAUCCCUCGGCUCAACCGGGGAACUGCGUGUGAUACUGGCGGGCUUGAAUUCGGGAGAGGGAUGUGGAAUUCCAGGUGUAGCGGUGAAAUGCGUAGAUAUCUGGAGGAACACCGGGUGGCGAAGGCGGCAUCCUGGACCGAGAUUGACGCUGAGGCGCGAAAGCUAGGGUAGCAAACGGG
rnacentral:rRNA from 1 species